rnacentral:rRNA from 1 species
GACGAACGCUGGCGGCGUGCUUAACACAUGCAAGUCGAACGGAAAGGCCCUGCUUUUGUGGGGUGCUCGAGUGGCGAACGGGUGAGUAACACGUGAGUAACCUGCCCUUGACUUUGGGAUAACUUCAGGAAACUGGGGCUAAUACCGGAUAGGAGCUCCUGCUGCAUGGUGGGGGUUGGAAAGUUUCGGCGGUUGGGGAUGGACUCGCGGCUUAUCAGCUUGUUGGUGGGGUAGUGGCUUACCAAGGCUUUGACGGGUAGCCGGCCUGAGAGGGUGACCGGCCACAUUGGGACUGGGAUACGGCCCAGACUCCUACGGGAGGCAGCAGUGGGGAAUAUUGCACAAUGGGCGGAAGCCUGAUGCAGCAACGCCGCGUGCGUGAUGACGGCCUUCGGGUUGUAAACCGCUUUCGCCUGUGACGAAGCGUGAGUGACGGUAAUGGGUAAAGAAGCACCGGCUAACUACGUG